GUCGAACGCGUCUUGGUCAAUGAAGUUGAGUGCUUGCAUUUAACUGAUUUGACAUUAAGACGAGUGGCGAACUGGUGAGUAACACGUGGGUAACUUGCCCCGAAGCGGGGGAUAACAUUUGGAAACAGGUGCUAAUACCGCAUAACAACAAAAACCACAUGGUUUUUGUUUAAAAGAUGGUUUCGGCUAUCACUUUGGGAUGGACCCGCGGCGUAUUAGCUAGUUGGUGAGGUAAUGGCUCACCAAGGCAAUGAUACGUAGCCGACCUGAGAGGGUAAUCGGCCACAUUGGGACUGAGACACGGCCCAAACUCCUACGGGAGGCAGCAGUAGGGAAUCUUCCACAAUGGACGAAAGUCUGAUGGAGCAACGCCGCGUGAGUGAUGAAGGGUUUCGGCUCGUAAAACUCUGUUGUUGGAGAAGAACGGGUGUCAGAGUAACUGUUGACAUCGUGACGGUAUCCAACCAGAAAGCCACGGCUAACUACGUGCCAGCAGCCGCGGUAAUACGUAGGUGGCAAGCGUUGUCCGGAUUUAUUGGGCGUAAAGCGAGCGCAGGCGGUUUUUUAGGUCUGAUGUGAAAGCCUUCGGCUUAACCGGAGAAGUGCAUCGGAAACCGGGAGACUUGAGUGCAGAAGAGGACAGUGGAACUCCAUGUGUAGCGGUGAAAUGC
rnacentral:rRNA from 1 species